rnacentral:rRNA from 1 species
CCUACGGGUGGCAGCAGUCGAGAAUCAUUCACAAUGGGGGAAACCCUGAUGGUGCGACGCCGCGUGGGGGAAUGAAGGUCUUCGGAUUGUAAACCCCUGUCAUGUGGGAGCAAAUUAAAAAGAUAGUACCACAAGAGGAAGAGACGGCUAACUCUGUGCCAGCAGCCGCGGUAAUACAGAGGUCUCAAGCGUUGUGCGGAAUCACUGGGCGUAAAGGGUGCGUAGGCUGUUUCGUAAGUCGUGUGUGAAAGGCGCGGGCUCAACCCGCGGACGGCCCAUGAUACUGCGAGACUAGAGUAAUGGAGGGGGAACCGGAAUUCUCGGUGUAGCAGUGAAAUGCGUAGAUAUCGAGAGGAACACUCGUGGCGAAGGCGGGUUCCUGGACAUUAACUGACGCUGAGGCACGAAGGCCAGGGGAGCGAAAGGGAUUAGAUACCCGAGUAGUC